GACGAACGCUGGCGGCGUGCCUAAUACAUGCAAGUUGAGCGCUGAAGGUUGGUACUUGUACCAACUGGAUGAGCAGCGCACGGGUGAGUAACGCGUGGGGAAUCUGCCUUUGAGCGGGGGACGACAUUUGGAAACGAAUGCUAAUACCGCAUAAAAACUUUAAACACAAGUUUUAAGUUUGAAAGAUGCAAUUGCAUCACUCAAAGAUGAUCCCGCGUUGUAUUAGCUAGUUGGUGAGGUAAAGGCUCACCAAGGCGAUGAUACAUAGCCGACCUGAGAGGGUGAUCGGCCACAUUGGGACUGAGACACGGCCCAAACUCCUACGGGAGGCAGCAGUAGGGAAUCUUCGGCAAUGGACGAAAGUCUGACCGAGCAACGCCGCGUGAGUGAAGAAGGUUUUCGGAUCGUAAAACUCUGUUGGUAGAGAAGAACGUUGGUGAGAGUGGAAAGCUCAUCAAGUGACGGUAACUACCCAGAAAGGGGCGGCUAACUACGUG
rnacentral:rRNA from 1 species